rnacentral:rRNA from 1 species
AGGUUGACCUCGGAUCAGGUAGGGAUACCCGCUGAACUUAAGCAUAUCAAAAGGCCGGAAGGAA